CACACAUAUAUCACAGGACACAUUAUAUUAUACAGCUAUACACACAUAUAUCACAGGACACAUUAUAUCACACAGCUAUACACACAUAUAUCACAGGACACAUUAUAUUAUACAGCUAUACACACAUAUAUCACAGGACACAUUAUAUCACACAGCUAUACACACAUAUAUCACAGGACACAUUAUAUUAUACAGCUAUACACACAUAUGUCACAGGACACAUUAUAUCACACAGCUAUACACACAUAUUUCACAGGACACAUUAUAUUAUACAGCUAUACACACAUAUAUCACAG